UUGCUAGUGGACAUUGAGAUUGUUUUCGAUUCAAAAUCUUCGGAAUCAAUUAGGGUUCAAACUGUAGAGAUACUAUCUAGGUUAGCGGAGGCUGCAAGAGGGAUAUUAUCUGAAUUUGAAAAUGCAGUGCUUCGAGAACCUUCCAAGGUUCCUGUACCUGGAGGGACAAUUCAUCCCUUGACUAGGUACGUUAUGAACUACAUAAGUUUAAUUUCAGACUACAAACAGACCAUGUCUGAAUUGAUUGUCUCAAAG
rnacentral:misc_RNA from 1 species